UGUUUUUGAAAAUGGAUUUUACAAAAAUGUUUUUCAAAAUAUUACAAGUUUUUCUAAAUUUAUUUUUUAUAUAUUAAAAGAUUGAAUUGUUCAUUGUUAACAUAAAUAUAUAUUAUUGAAGAUCAAAACAUAGUCAAAAUCACAAUUUUAAAAAAAAAAUUGUAUCUCAAAAAUGAUUUUUAAAAAAAAUUAUUUGAAAUAUCUUCAAAAUUAAGUGAUUUUUUAAAAUUUUGAUAUCCAAAAAAAGUUUCGAUAAAAUAAUAAAGUAUCUGAAAUAACAUUUUAAGAAUAACUAUUUAAAUAAAAUUUUCAUUUGAAGCUUUUAUAAAAAAUUUCUUUGUAUAUUUUUUUUACACUAAAAUAUAUAACACCAUAAAAAUCAUUUUUAAAAAAAACCAAAACAAACUGCCCCAUAAUCACCUGCACGCUUUUCUCUCCCUAUCUUCUCCUCAAUCAAAGCCCUCGUCUCUACUCUCCAAAACAACACCAACACAUUUCUAAGCACGAUCCUAAAAAAAACAACAGUCUCAUUCACCUAUGAGCUUCAAAGCCAAACAUGCCUCAGCGGCCACCGAUCAUACCCUAUUUCCCCAAAUUAAAACAACUCAACCAAAUCGUACACAGACCGAUAAACCUAAAAUGCAAAGAGUUCAGGAAAAUAACCUAAACAACAAUCGGGAUAUGCACUCGCACAACAAUUAUCAAGUCAUUAAACACCAUGGUAGAAAUCGAAAUCAACUCAACCUUGCACAACUACGACUAUGUUAAAGGUUUUAGCAAGAAAAGAGUAGAUGUGAAGAAGUACCGACAACAAGGAGAUUUGCUCUGAUUCAAUGGGAUUUUGUUCAAGUUUGUGGAAAUUCGAAGUAAAAAAACCCCAACAAUCUUAACAACCUCUGGAGCUUUAGUCAGUGUUCAGAUGGUCUUCUUCAAGGGUAACGGUACCGGAAAUCCUCCCUUUUUCAGUGAUUGAUGUGCUCCUUAUAUAGGACGAAAACCGUUCAUCUCCAAAUCAUGAGCUGGCAGAGGUUUGCAAAAUCAAUCUGUUAAUAAUGCAAUCUUUCCUCGAUUUUGUGGGGACCGAUUGUAAAUCCUCUAUUCAUUGAAAACCUAUCCACUUUUGCCUUUUGUCCGUAGUGAUGUAUUUGGAUUCAUUCGAAACUCAGGUGGUCCCCCUUUUGGUAUGACCUCAUCGUUCAAAUUUAUCCUUUGUAUGUGGAUCUGCUUAUGUGUUUUAUUUUGUUCACGUAUCCUAUUUCAUAAAUGGUAUAUCUGUAGAUUCGGUUUUGGUAAACUGAUAUGACAGGGUAAUAUUUUAUUGGUGGUGUCCUGUCAUAGUCUCCCUGUUCUCUACUCGGCUUGCAUUUCGAAUUGUUUAGAGACGAGAGUAUGAGCCUCUGAGAAGUGUAAAAGCGAUGGUGGAUGUUUAGUAUUCGUCAGCUUCACAAGGCUUUGCUUUGUUCUUUAAAAGAAUUCUGUUUGUAACUCACUCUUGCCUCAAUGCAGGAUGGUCCUUGUUGACUGAUACAUCAGGGUGAUUUCGGCAAUCCUGUUUGUGAUUUCUCUGUGGAAAGCUUCUUCGUUAGGAACAUUCGUCUUGCCUGCUCUGGUUCUUCCUAACUUUUAUUUGCGUCGUGUAUUUGUCUGUAUGAUCCUAACAUAUGUUCAUUCGAUUCAAAUUGGUGGUUUGGGUAAUAGGCUUCUGUCAUGGUUCAUCUCAGGUUUUUCGACAUGGUUUGGUUUCCUGCUACAAGAGGGUUAUGGAAAAUAUGCAGCAUAGCCGUUUGGGAGCUCCUGUAAUGGAUUUAUGGUUAUCUUAUAAUGCCAAUGGUUCGUUUUUUCUUGCAGGUUAUCUACAUGUCAGUUUGGUUAUGCGGUUAGAGAAAUGCGACACGUUGUGACCGCUUGACUGUGUACUAAGACAGAUCCCAUCUCCUUGACACCUCGAGCUCGAAUGACCGGAGUUAAUGGGGACUUAAAUAAGCCAUGUCAUUGUGAACUGUCAUUUUCCAAACUAGGAAUAACACUGCCAGAUACUUUACCGUAUGGGAUUCUGCAGGAUGCUCAUAAUGCAGAAAAACAACAUUCGAUGUUAGUACACGGAGUUAUGUAUUUGUCCUUAUUAGCUUCCUUUUAUGAAACUGCAGGACAUGGGAUUUACGUUGUGGAAGGCCAUGGAUAAUGCAUAUUGGUAUUUGGCGUGCUGCAAGUAUAAUGCAUUUGGCUUGGAUGGUGAUGUAGACUGCUGUGCUUAUCUGGACAUGGCUUGAUGCUUAUUAGAUUUUUUUUUGAAGUGUAUUUCUUUCAUUUGGCUCUGUGGUAAUAGAUACAGUGAAUUCCAUGUAAAUGAUGAAAUAUGUUAUGCUUUCUCAUAAUGGAAUUGGAACAAAUACGGUUA